ACUUUCUUGCGAUCUACACAGUCGCCAUGAUGGAGUCUGUCAAAUAAUUGUAUUUUCAUAAUCACACGUUCUCUGGGGACUUUGAUCUACUUGAAAAAUCGGAUAUCACGAGUUUAUCGUAUCAAAAAAUUGACUUGACUAAUGAGAAAUUUUCUUGAAGAAUGUAGAAUUAAGGGAUUUCCCAUUUCUCCUAGGUCUCGUGGCGGCGUCCAAUAGAAUCGCAGGCAUAAUUUCCUUGCCAGCAAUAGUUCGGCGACGAGUGCUGCGAGUCACCAUUUUCCCAGCGACAGAAGGUGCAUUAAUAACUAGUUUCUCAGUUUUUACUGUAGUUCGUGGCUUUGCCUUGUAAAACCUAGAAUUGCGUCGUUUACGAGCAGCUUGGGCAGACUUCGUCUUCUUCCACUUGUAGUAAUACUCGACGAUGCUAUCCUGUGACAAGAAAACAUGAGAUAAAUAAGUUUUCCGUUCUUCGCGAGUCUUUCGAUGCAUGUAGUCAAAACAAAUUGCCUUGAAAAAUUAACUCACCGUAUCUUUUCCUGGCAACAGAUUUUUUCUGAUUUUAUGGAAAUUCUUUCCGUAGCGUACAAUUCCACGAAUGAAUAGAGCCUGUAACGUAUAGAAUUUUAUUAGAUUAUACAACUCUGUGAUGAAUAAGCUGAUAGCGGAUCGUAGCCGACUUCAUACAAGGACUCCAUCAUGAAUUCUUCAGCUUCUCCUAAGCAUGCAUUUUCCAAUGCCUCUUUGUUUGGCACUCCAUCUUUUAUUUGGCUAAUGGUGAUUAGGGAACGUGCC